UACGUAGGGUGCGAGCGUUAAUCGGAAUUACUGGGCGUAAAGUGUGCGCAGGCGGCACCGCAAGUCGAGUGUGAAAGCCCCGGGCUUAACUUGGGAAUUGCGCUCGAAACUAUGGUGCUGGAGUGUGGCAGAGGAAGGUGGAAUUCCAGGUGUAGCGGUGAAAUGCGUAGAGAUCUGGAGGAACACCGAUGGCGAAGGCAGCCUUCUGGGCCAACACUGACGCUCAUGCACGAAAGCGUGGGGGAGCAAACAGG
rnacentral:rRNA from 1 species